rnacentral:rRNA from 1 species
CGCCUUGCCAGCCCGCUCAGAAACUCAAAGGAAUUGACGGGGCCCGCACAAGCGGAGGAGCAUGUGGUUUAAUUCGAUGAUACGCGAGGAACCUUACCUGGGCUCGAACGUAAGAUGACUGUAGGUGAAAGCUUACAUCUCUUCGGAGCAUUUUACGAGGUGCUGCAUGGUUGUCGUCAGCUCGUGCCGUGAGGUGUCGGGUUAAGUCCCAUAACGAGCGCAACCCCUACCUUUAGUUGCCAUCAGGUUAAGCUGGGGACUCUAAAGGAACUGCCUACGCAAGUAGUGGGGAAGGCGGGGAUGACGUCAAAUCAGCACGGCCCUUACGUCCAGGGCUACACACGUGCUACAAUGGCCGAUACAGAGGGCAGCUACCUGGUGACAGGAUGCAAAUCUCAAAAGCCGGUCUCAGUUCGGAUCGGAGUCUGCAACCCGACUCCGUGAAGCUGGAAUCGCUAGUAAUCGCGCAUCAGCCAUGGCGCGGUGAAUACGUUCCCGGGCCUU